rnacentral:misc_RNA from 1 species
UUUUUUUCUUGACUUGCUCUUAAAUGAGGAACACGUAUAAAUAUGUUUUUGUCUGUACUACGCAUCACAAGCACUCCCAAGGUGCCGCUCGCCACCCAGUGCCUCCCUCUCGCGGCGGCGCAGGCUCCCCACAAGUGGGAAGUGAGGGCCGGAUAGGAUACGUCCGAGUCACACCCGCACUUCGCCUAUUGUAUGAUACAAUCGUAUUCACGGUCGCAGGCUACUCCAACGUAACGCCAUCUAGGGCUCGACGGCCGGCAUCAGUAGCGAUACGACGCUCUGACUCCCCGCACGCCGUAGAUGCUUGAACCCUGUCACCACUAGAAGUGGUUCGGCAUUGGCAGGGGGAUAGGGUGGGGGCUGCUUGGCUUCCCCGCACAGAGUGGGGGUACUGGACCCUGUGAUGCGACUCUGGGGGGUCCCCUGUUCGCAUGCCAUCCUUGCAUAUACUUGAAACAGAGCGACACAAAACCCACUCGAAGAUCCUCUUCCUUGGAUUGACUGAACGGCGCAUGAAAGGUCGGACGAUAGUCAUUCAGCACCGCACAUGUCGUGGGAGAUGUGUUUGCGCUGUGGUCGACAUGUUUGCCGGUUCACAGUGCCACCCAACAGUUGUGCAAGGGGGUUCUGGAAAUUGGGUAAUGCUAGUGGCAGUUCUUGCCAGCUAAAUGAAGCGUUUAGAAAGAGCUGAAGGGAGCUGUGAAACUUCGGUGCGUGUGCAAGGACGCGUGAAAGUCUCCCUCCUCUUCACCCGAGCGAAUUGGUUUGCUUUUCAUGAUGAAUGCUCAGCCUACUACGCAAAGUCAACGCAUUCUGCAGCUGAUGCGAUGCUUAGAACUCCUGCAGCGGUCCACUCGUCCUGGGCCCUUAUUACUCUUUUACCCCCCCCCCCCCGCGAUCCGUGGUCUUGCGUGUGCCGCGCCGCAAUCUCGUGGAAGGCAGAUGAAACCCUCUAUCGGGUACGACUAUCACUUUAGAAGAGUAUCCAGCUUGAUUUCGUUUGCGGGCCGAGCCCCUUUGAGUGUCGAUUCAGCUCCUCAGUGUUAUCAUUAUUUGGAACCGCACCGUCACUCAGGGCUCUGUUUUUUUCUGCAUUGCGUCUAUUAUAAAGUCCAGCAAAGUGACUGAACUCCGCUG